AGUUCUGGGAAUAUGGAAUGUUAUCCUCAAGGCUACCACUGAACUGAGAAGCAGAGCAUGGAUCUAGGGGAAACUGUUCUUCAGUUCUGUUGGUUUUAAUGAGAAAAAAGAGGUGAGAAGAGCCUGCUGUGGACACAUUCCUGAGAAGGAUGCCUCAACAGUCAACAUGGGGAUAAUGCACAUUAGAGACUUCACUUCCUGAAAAAAAAACUGAUAAGGCUGGACCUAGAGCAUUUGAAAGUUCUCAGGCUAGGAGUUGAAUCAGAGCUGUAGCUGCUGGCCUACACCAUAGCAACAGCAACAUGGGAUUUGAGCUGCACCUGUGACCUAACACCACAGCUCAGGGCAACACCUGAUUCUUAAACCACUGAGCAAGGCCAAGGAUUGAACCCACGUCCUCAUGGAGAAUAAUCAGGUGUGAUAGGGUGGAGCCCUCAUGAAAAAGAUUAGUUCCCUUACAAAAGGAACCCCAGAAAGACCCAGAAGAAGGCUAUCACCUGAACUCAGCCAUGCUGGCAUCGUGAUUUUGAACUUCCAGUCUCCAAAACUCAAACAAGGCCUUCACUGAGUAUAUGCAGCUCCUUAACCAAGCCUGAAAGCAUAGUGGUGAGAAACAUCUCUAGGCAUAUAAAGUUGUUAUCAAUACUCAGUUGCAUCAGAAUCCCCUGUGAUAGUCUUAAAAUGUUCCAGUAUCUGAGCUUUACCCCAAAUAACUGGAAACAGAAAUCUCUGGGUAUAGAACAAGCUGACAUCUUCUCAUGUUCCAUGUGAUGAAUCUGGCAAAUGGGAUAAAAAUCAAAACUGACUUCCUAUUUUGUAUGAUGCCUACAGAUCUCUCUUCUCUGCAAUAGUGACCACAGACCAUCUUCUGAGAUGUCAGAGAAUUCACACAGCAUCUCAAAUCUCUGAGAGACCAUAUGGAGUGGAGCACCAACUCCUGCAAUCCCAUCCAUCAACUGUGGUGUGGUUUACAUCGAAUGAGUGAGAAACUUUUCUUGUAUUAAGCAAACAGGAUGUAAGAUUUCAUUGGUUAUUAGAUACAUAUUAGACUACCUCAUUUACACAGCAUGCAGUCCAAACAUAUUCCCCAAAUUCAAUAAAGAUCCAACUAAUAGCGUUGCUAUGUUACUGUUAAAGAAAAGCAUGGCGUCUGGGUGUGUUUCAUGCCAGUUCCUCUACUGUAACAAAAGCGUCACUCUGGUGAGAGAUGUUGAUAAUGGGGAGGCUAUGCAUGAUUGGAGACAAUGAGUAAAUGGGAAAUCUCUGUCCUUCAACUCAUUCUUCUCUGAACCUAUAAUUGCUCUUAAAAAUAAUGUCUAUUACAACCUGUGGAAUGGGAGAAAAUAGCUUCAAACAAUGCAACCAACAAGGGCUUAAUCUCCAAAAUAUACAAACAACUCAUACAACUCAACAGCAAAAAAACAAACAACCCAACUGAAAAAUGAGCAGAAGACCUGAAUAGACAUUUCUCUAAAGAGAACAUACAGAUGGCCAACAAGCACAUGAAAAAAUGUUUAACAUCACUAAUUAUUAGAAAAAUGCAAAUCAAAACUACUUUGAGGUGCCAUCUCACACUGGUUAGAAUGGCCAUCAUUAGUAAGUCUACAAAUAAUAAAUGCUGGAGAGGGUGUGGA
rnacentral:lncRNA from 1 species